rnacentral:rRNA from 1 species
GUUGAUCAUGGCUCAGGAUGAACGCUAGCGACAGGCUAACACAUGCAAGUCGAGGGGCAUCACGGGAGUAGCAAUACAACUGGUGGCGACCGGCGCACGGGUGAGUAACGCGUAUGCAACCUACCUAUCAGAGGGGAAUAACCCGGCGAAAGUCGGACUAAUACCGCAUAAAACAGGGGCACCGCAUGGUGAUAUUUGUUAAAGAAAUUCGCUGAUAGAUGGGCAUGCGUUCCAUUAGGUAGUUGGUGAGGUAACGGCUCACCAAGCCGACGAUGGAUAGGGGAACUGAGAGGUUGGUCCCCCACACUGGUACUGAGACACGGACCAGACUCCUACGGGAGGCAGCAGUGAGGAAUAUUGGUCAAUGGGCGGGAGCCUGAACCAGCCAAGUCGCGUGAAGGAAGAAGGAUCUAUGGUUCGUAAACUUCUUUUGCAGGGGAAUAAAGUGCAGGACGUGUCCUGUUUUGUAUGUACCCUGAGAAUAAGGAUCGGCUAACUCCGUGCCAGCAGCUGC